AAAGUGGACUGGGUGAUUGCGUGCAGCUUCGGCUGUGCGAGGAAAGUCCGGGCUCCACAGGGCAGGACGCUGGCUAACGACCAGUGGGGGGAACCCCAGGACAGUGCCACAGAAAAAAACCGCCCUAAACGCAGAAGACCGUGAGCAAGAUACGCAGCAGAUACGCAGCACUAUUUGUACCCAGGUGUGCUUUUCGGAGCCACCACAUGUCGCAAUUUCGCUAAUAUGCAUUUUGACUGAAUACAGCACACACAGACGCAGGGCAAGGGUGCAAAGGUGGUGUAAGAGACCACCGGCAAUUGGGUGACCAAUUGGCCAGGCAAACCCCGUCCGGAGCAAGGCAAACAGAGAUAACGGGCUGCCCGCCCAGGUCUCGGGUAUGCUGCUAGAGGUGGUCGGUAACGGCCAUCCCAGAGGGAUAAUCACCCACUGCCUUCGGGCAGGGACAGAACCCGGCUUAUAGGUCCACUUUUAUU
rnacentral:RNase_P_RNA from 1 species